rnacentral:rRNA from 1 species
GACGAACGCUGGCGGCGUGCUUAACACAUGCAAGUCGAGCGGUAAGGCCCUUUCGGGGGUACGACGAGCGGCGAACGGGUGAGUAACACGUGGGUGACCUGCCCUCAGCUCUGGGAUAAGCCUGGGAAACCGGGUCUAAUACUGGAUAUGACUCCAUGACGCAUGUUGUGGGGUGGAAAGCCUUGUGCGGCUGAGGAUGGGCCCGCGGCCUAUCAGCUUGUUGGUGGGGUGAUGGCCUACCAAGGCGACGACGGGUAGCCGGCCUGAGAGGGCGACCGGCCACACUGGGACUGAGACACGGCCCAGACUCCUACGGGAGGGCAGCAGUGGGGAAUCUUGCGCAAUGGGCGAAAGCCUGACGCAGCGACGCCGCGUGAGGGAUGACGGCCU